GUGAGUCAUCGAAUCUUUGAACGCACAUUGCGCCCCUCGGCAUCCCGGGGGGCAUGCCUGUUCGAGCGUCAUUGCACCCCUCAAGCCCGGCUUGGUAUUGGGCCCCGUCCACGAGGCGGACCCGAAAAGUAUUGGCGGUCUGGCGUGAAGUCCAAGCGUAGUAAACAAACCCCCGCUUCGGUCGUCGCGACCAGCCAGCCUACGAUUACUUCAAUGAUUGACCUCGGAUCAGGUAGGGAUACCCGCUGAACUUAAGCAUAUCAAUAAGCGGAGGA
rnacentral:misc_RNA from 1 species